rnacentral:rRNA from 1 species
UACAGAGGUGGCAAGCGUUGUUCGGAAUUACUGGGCGUAAAGGGCGCGUAGGCGGCCUUCUAAGUCAGACGUGAAAUCCCCCGGCUUAACCUGGGAACUGCGUCUGAUACUGGGAGGCUUGAGUAUGGGAGAGGGAUGUAGAAUUCCAGGUGUAGCGGUGAAAUGCGUAGAUAUCAGGAGGAACACCGGUGGCGAAGGCGGGACUCUGGGCCGAUACUGACGCUGAGGAGCGAAAGCGUGGGGGAGCAAACAGG